rnacentral:misc_RNA from 1 species
UACGGGGGGAGCUUAGUGUCAUUCGUCUUAACUGGGCGUAAAGGGUAAGUAUUUUAGAUGGCUUUGUAAGUAGGAAGUCAAAAAUUGUGGGCUUUAAUCCUUAAGGCUUUUUUGACUGCAAAGCUUGAGUUGGCACAAGAUGACGGUAUUUUCUAUGGAGAGGUGAAAUUUGUAGAUAUUUUUAUAGCAAAGACCAUCGUUGCGAAGGCAGUUAUCUGGUCCGACACUGACAUGAGGUACGAAAGGUGGGGAGCAAAGAGG